GCGAUUUUUGAGGGACCAAGCUAGGACACUUGAGGCGCGCGUGCGCAGAGCAGCUCGGGGCUCACGGGGCUUGCCCGAACGCGCAUGCGCGAGAGCGUCCCGGGGGGCGCGGGCGCGAGGAGGCCGGGGGCCGCGCGUGCGCAGCACAACUCGGGGUGCGCGGGGAGGCCCGGAGCGCGCGUGCGCGCGCCUCUUCCCCGCCCCCCACUCGGCCGAGACGGCGGCACAAUGGCGGCGCCCUUGCCCCCGCUGCGUCCCGUCACCCACCUGCUUUUUGACCUGGACGGCCUCCUUCUGGAUACUGAACGGCUGUACUCAGUGGUGUUUGAGGCAGUCUGCGGUCGCUAUGGGAAGAAAUACAGCUGGGAUGUGAAGUCCCUCGUUAUGGGUAAGACGGCGUUGGAGGCGGCCCAGAUCAUCGUAGACACCCUGCAGCUCCCGACGUCCAAGGAGGAGCUGGUGGAAGCCAGCCAGGCGAAGCUGAAGGAGGUGUUCCCCACCGCCGCGCUCAUGCCAGGUGUGGAGAAGCUGAUCCACCACCUGCGGAAGCACGGCGUGCCCUGUGCCGUGGCCACCAGCUCAGGGACCGCAUCCUUCCAGAUGAAGACCAGCAGACACGAGGGCUUCUUCAGCUUGUUCCAUCACGUCGUCCUCGGCGAUGACCCCGAAGUGAGGAGUGGGAAGCCGGAGCCAGACAUCUUCCUGGCGUGCGCCCGCAGGUUUUCUCCCGCCGCUCCCGUGGAGCAGCCAGAACUUUAUACGAUAUUGCCCACUGAAGAUGGAAUUCAGCAUGAAGGCCAUCUUGGGUUCCAUCAAAGAGAUCACUGAAAAGCCAAAGGGCCUCUAGGAUGUCACACCUCAUGAUGUACAGAGGGCGCAAUGCACUCUACAGAAUUGGGCUUGCAAAGUAAAGAAGGCGGACAGAGUUUCCUCUCUUACUGGAAUCUUCUGGAAACCAUAGCCAUGGGGUAUUCCCGAAUGCCUCACAUCCUUUAAGCAAUGUUUAACGGCCACCUGUUGCAUGAGGACUCAUCAGGGGAAAGGACCAUUUCACGACAACCUAGGACCCUGGCCCUAAACUUCGGUGUCCAGGCUAGUGGGGCUGGGCCAUGUGGAGAAUUUGUUUUGCCAGGACAGGAGGUCUUGAGGGCCCGGAAUCCAAGAAUUUCCAGGAGGUCCUUCACCAUAUUCCUGCCAAGUCCGUGGCCACCACACCACAAAAUGGCAGAGCCCAGGUUCAUAUUCUCGAUGCGGAUCCCAUGCCUUUUUCAUUGUGCUGACUCUCUUUGCCAUAGUGGGGCUUUUUAUGGCCUGGUAGGGUAAGGGCCUCAGCGUUCUAGCCGCAGGUGAUGGAGAGACUACCUGCCUUUGGUUCCUCGAAUCACUGACCUGGGAGCCCCAUCACGUGGGGCCCCAAGCAGAGACCCCAGGUAGCCACCUCUGGGAUGUCCUAGCUUAGGUGCUGCUGAGAGUUUGUCAAUACUUGUAUCUCCCCUCUGCCGUAAUGAUCAAUGUGUCCAAGAUCACAGACUCCAACCACAGCGCAUGGAAACAAUGACUUAUCCUAUGACUGCCAUAAACGCACUCCAGCGUCUCAAAUGUAUUUCAUCGAUCAUUCUUUAAGGCACAAAAGACGUGUGUCAACGUAGAAACAGUCUCUAUUCUGCGGAAGAAACUCCAUGAAUGUGUGUACUAUUGCCUCUCAGGCAAAGAUGCCAUUUUCCUCUUUGCGGGGCAUCGAUGUUUUGCACCAAGCCCUCUCUUCUUAGAUAAUUGCACUUUACACUUCGGCAUCUACGUUCUGAAGGCUUGAUGCUGAAGUUUCUACUGCCCUUCCACGAGGAGGACAGCCUGUGGUCCCCACAAUGAGAUCUGGUUCUUUCUGCUCAUUUGUGGAGGGACGUGGAGAGCAGGGAGCUGAUUUGCAGAAGGACCACUUGGUAGACAGGCUAUUCAAGAUUCUGACGACAUGUUGGUGGAUUCAUGCAUGGGUACUGGAGCGGCCACCACAUCAUUUCUGAGCUCUGUCUACUGAGAGGAAGUCAUAUAAACCAGGUAUGAUCUGUGCACUUUUCUUCGGUACGUCAUACAUCAACCAAAAGUUUAUUGACUUUUGGAUGCCACUUGAUCCGAGACACCCACAUCCUGGACUGAAGGAUUGGAUUUGAAUGAAACUCAUUUUCAUCGCAAGACAAAGGGAGAAGUCAAAGCAGUAGAUCUGGUCCUACGAUCAUCCGUCUGUGUUCCCCUCUGUCCUCCCCUGGAAUCCAGAGGCCAUGGAAGAAGAGAGGAUUUGGAAGGGAGAGUCCAAGCUGGGCUUACACUCAGUUACAGCCCCUUGUGAGCGCCCGUAGCUGUGCACCACUGGGAGGUACAGCUUGGCCUCGUCAUCGAUCUGGACCAUCCUACGGGAGACCAUGGACCCUCAGAGAUGCUUCACUGUAAAUGCAUAUGGGGAGAGAGAGAGAGAGAGAGAACACCAUUUUCUCAACACGCCCCUGCAGCCAGUAACUCGGAGGCGAUGGGUCUUCGCCAUCCGCCAGGGCAGGUUUGCUUCGAGAGAAUCAUCACACCUUUCCCCUUUCACUCCAAACAGGUGGGCUGCCCACAACAGUGGUGGUGUGUCACCUCAUGUAACUGCCUGAGUCAUCUACCCAACAUAACAAGGCAGCGUCCUCAUUGCCAGCAGCAAACACUUCUCUAUACACCACGUGACAGUCUGGGAAAACAGGAAAGGGAGCAGACAAGAGCUGUGCUAACAGCACCUCCAGGCUGAGCGUGAUCUGCGAUUCUAUCAAGGGAUUUGUGAGAGGCGUAGGUGGCUAUUGCUUGGGACUGGCAUUGCAGGGAUAAAGCAAGGAAGUUGCCCAAACAGAGCAUUUCAGAAGUAAAAAAAGAAGAAGAAGAAGGAAAAAAAAAUCAGGUGUGGCACUCUGGGAGUUGCAGUAGAGGGGAGGAACCUUGCUCUAGAAAAUGAGGCUCCCAGGCCACAAAAAUGACAAAGACAAUGCAGAAAAUGUGUAGAUGCCACUGCUUAAGAACCACCCCAGGGUGCUCUCUUUCCAUGAUAAACACGGAGGUCUCUGAUAGACUACGACCCAUCCGCCAGCCUCCAGUGGUCAUCUCACUAUUUCCAGGUCUAGAUCGAAAAUCAUUUCCAGUCCCUCGCUGCCAUUCUCCGUGACCCAUAUUUUUUGGAAUGUCUUUCCAAGGGGCCGUCCGCUCGCUCUUUGUACACACUCGUUUUGUCGCUGGGUGGAUUUGCAGUAGUGUUCCCGUGAAGAUAAGCUGUUGACAUUAGACAGAUGUCUUAAUAAGAUUCUGUUCACUGUGUUAGAACCUAGAAGCUCUGAUUCCGCGGAGAGGAUAAAGCCAGGAGAAGGGCUUGUGCAAGUUCCCAGCUGGGAUUUUUGCAGAAGGCAAGCUUGCAGACACUCAGAAGCCAAGCCCCCGGCCCGGGCAGAAUAGGAAGGUUCAGUCUGUGGUCAGCGGUGCUGCCCCCGGCCCUUCCUUGAGUCCCCCAGGGCUCUCUGUCAUGCUCUGCGAUUCCCUGCCCCACUGCCUUAAAUGUGCCUGUGUCCUUCUCCUACCUUUUGCUGCCCACUCCACCCCAAAGCAAAACCAAACAGAACUUCAGGGCUGUCUUCCUGGUAGCUGUGCCUGGUGGACAAAAUCACUUUCAGGCCUAAGGUUUCGUGCACACGUUAGUUCAACGCACUGAACUGCCUGAAAGUGGGUUAAAAGGGUCACAUGUGUGCGGGGCUGGCGCAAGGCCUACGAACGCCCGUUUCUCCUGAAAGCCAUUCCCAUUUCUGUGGUCUCGGUAAGAUUCCCUUUCUAUAUGUCCCCCUACAAUCCCCUAGUUUUCCUUUGGUGAGGCUUCUUAUUUUGUAUACAACCCGUUUGCGUUUUCAUUCCCUGAUGGUUGGAACCACAUCUGUCCUGUUGGCUAUGAUUUCUGUAGUGUCUAACACACGGGGAGAUUACUACAUAGACGUUUUUGGUUUCAAGAGAGAAAUCAACCCUAGGAUAGCUAUUGUGUUUUAAUGAUAUCAGUGGCUCAUCUUAGGGGGUGACAUCCUCAACUUAGAACCCAGCAGGCGUCAAGACGCCCUGCCCUGCAGAAGAUGCCAUGGAGUGUGGGCGCAUCCUGGGCCGUAUAGGAUGCUUGCCUUCUCUCCCACUGCCAGUUGACUUGGGUGGCUUCCGUACCCUCCAUGGCCUUCUCUCGCACUUCACCUCUUGGUUCAAAACACCUGCUUUCAGGGCUUCCCUGGUGGCGCAGUGGUUGAGAGUCCGCCUGCCGAUGCAGGGGACACGGGUUCGUGCCCCGGUCCGGGAAGAUCCCACAU